rnacentral:rRNA from 1 species
UCCCAUCCCGAACUCGGAAGUGAAACGAUACAUCGCCGAUGGUAGUGUGGGGUUUCCCCAUGUGAGAGUAGGUCAUCGCCAGGC